rnacentral:rRNA from 1 species
UACGGAGGGUGCGAGCGUUGUCCGGAAUCAUUGGGCGUAAAGGGCGCGUAGGUGGCGGCUUAAGCGUGCGGUGAAAGCUCGGGGCUCAACCCCGAGUCGGCCGUGCGAACUGAGUCGCUUGAGCACUGUAGAGGCAGGCGGAAUUCCGGGUGUAGCGGUGGAAUGCGCAGAUAUCAGGAAGAACACCCGUGGCGAAAGCGGCUCUCUGGGCAGUAACUGACGCUGAGGAGCGAAAGCGUGGGGAGCGAACAGG